rnacentral:rRNA from 1 species
AGUCGACGAUGAUCUUCUAGCUUGCUAGAAGUGGAUUAGUGGCGCACGGGUGAGUAAUGCAUAGGUUAUGUGCCCUUUAGUCUGGGAUAGCCACUGGAAACGGUGAUUAAUACUGGAUACUCCCUACGGGGGAAAGUUUUUCGCUAAAGGAUCAGCCUAUGUCCUAUCAGCUUGUUGGUGAGGUAAUGGCUCACCAAGGCUAUGACGGGUAUCCGGCCUGAGAGGGUGAUCGGACACACUGGAACUGAGACACGGUCCAGACUCCUACGGGAGGCAGCAGUAGGGAAUAUUGCUCAAUGGGGGAAACCCUGAAGCAGCAACGCCGCGUGGAGGAUGAAGGUUUUAGGAUUGUAAACUCCUUUUGUUAGAGAAGAUUAUGACGGUAUCUAACGAAUAAGCACCGGCUAACUCCGUGCCAGCAGCCGCGGUAAUACGGAGGGUGCAAGCGUUACUCGGAAUCACUGGGCGUAAAGAGUGCGUAGGCGGGGUAAUAAGUCAGAUGUGAAAUCCUGUAGCUUAACUACAGAACUGCAUUUGAAACUGUUACUCUGGAGUGUGGGAGAGGUAGGUGGAAUUCUUGGUGUAGGGGUAAAAUCCGUAGAGAUCAAGAGGAAUACUCAUUGCGAAGGCGACCUGCUGGAACAUUACUGACGCUGAUGCACGAAAGCGUGGGGAGCAAACAGGAUUAGAUACCCUGGUAGUCCACGCCCUAAACGAUGGAUGCUAGUUGUUGCCUUGCUUAUCAGGGCAGUAAUGCAGCUAACGCAUUAAGCAUCCCGCCUGGGGAGUACGGUCGCAAGAUUAAAACUCAAAGGAAUAGACGGGGACCCGCACAAGCGGUGGAGCAUGUGGUUUAAUUCGAAGAUACGCGAAGAACCUUACCUAGGCUUGACAUUGAUA